rnacentral:rRNA from 1 species
UACGUAGGGACCAAGCGUUGUUCGGAUUCACUGGGCGUAAAGGGCGCGUAGGCGGCAAUUCAAGUCAGCUGUGAAAUCUCUGGGCUUAACCCAGAACGGCCAGCUGAUACUGCUUGGCUAGAGUGCAGAAGGGGCAAUCGGAAUUCUCGGUGUAGCGGUGAAAUGCGUAGAUAUCGUGAGGAAGACCAGUUGCGAAGGCGGAUCGCUGGGCAGUUCCUGACGCUGAGGCACGAAGGCCAGGGGAGCAAACGGG